ACUAAUUGAUGGGAGUCUCCAUUUAUAACGAUGUAUUGAAACAUAUAGUACUAAUUACAUUUAACAAUUAUUAUUAUUAUUAUUACGAUAUAUAUAGCUUGAUUUUUUUUUUCCAAAAUUAUAUUACUAUAAAAAUAUUUCGCUACUGGAUUCGCCCUCAAAAAAAUUCCACUUCUGAUAAGUGCCAUAAGUAUAUAAUACUGAUCAGAAAAAAAUCAGUAGAAAUAAAUUUCACGCCAAUAAUAUAGUUUAUAAUGGCGAAAAAAGUAUAGAAAAUUGGUCUAAACGAAAUUUCAGUUUAAUUUGAUGUCACGCCCAGUAUUAGUAGUACCAAAACACAAGUCAUGUCAUUUACGUCAUUCCAAAUUUAGUUGGCCGAGAGGAAAAAUAAGACUAAAUAAAUAAAUAUACAGUAUAUCCACUAUAUAUAUUUUUUCAUAUAUACAUAUAAACAAUGUACCCAAAAUAUUUAGAACGAACACAAAAAACUUUUCCAAAAACUUG
rnacentral:lncRNA from 1 species